rnacentral:rRNA from 1 species
AUACGAGGGGUGCAAGCGUUAAUCGGAAUUACUGGGCGUAAAGCGUUCGUAGGCGGUUUGUUAAGCAAGAUGUGAAAGCCCUGGGCUCAACCUGGGAACUGCAUUUUGAACUGGCAAGCUAGAAUACUGUAGAGGGUGGUGGAAUUUCCAGUGUAGCGGUGAAAUGCGUAGAGAUUGGAAGGAACAUCAGUGGCGAAGGCGGCCACCUGGACAGAUAUUGACGCUGAGGAACGAAAGCGUGGGGAGCGAACAGGAUUAGAAACCCGGGUAGUCC